rnacentral:rRNA from 1 species
UACGGAGGAUGCGAGCGUUAUCCGGAUUUAUUGGGUUUAAAGGGUGCGUAGGCGGUUAGAUAGGUCUAUGGUUUAAGCCCGAGGCUUAACCUCGGUUCGCCAUAGAAACCGUCCAACUUGAGUAUGGUAGAGGCAAGUGGAAUUUCUAGUGUAGCGGUAAAAUGCGUAGAUAUUAGGAGGAACACCAGUGGCGAAGGCGGCUUGCUGGACGAUGACUGACGCUGAGGCUCGAAAGCGUGGGGAGCAAACAGG